GUGGUUGCUUUGCUGGUGCACAUAAAAAAAAAUUGGAUUGACAGAGAUUACCCUGGCCCCCACACAGAGGUGACACCCAAAUUCAUGAUGGUUCCAUAUUUUU
rnacentral:snRNA from 1 species